rnacentral:lncRNA from 1 species
UUUUCCUUUCGUUUAUUAUCUUUUUCUUUUGUGGAUCAUCACGCCCAACAAUCAUUGCACGGAAUGAAAACAAAUAUUGUGCUGGGUCCCACGUCCAGUCCCAUUAGUGGAAGCCAACGCCAUAUAUUUAUCCAAUGAAAUUUUGACACCUCAUCCACCGUGUGUAUUCAUAUAUUACAUAACUAAAUCCUCUAACAUGGGAGUCCCAAAAUGUAACCCUUUUGGUGCCAC